UAUGCGAAGUAGUGAUUUUAGGACCUGUUUAUGUCUGGGUAGCUUACGUUUAUUUGCAUUCCCAUGUGAAUAAAUGAAAAUUGUCCUAUAUAAAACUUACAUAAAACAGUGCAUUUGCAUUUAGGUUUAAUGGUUCAAAGAAUGUGGGACAGGAUGGUUGGCCCUCGGGCAUUAUCACAUUACCAAAUGUGAUCCAGAUUCAGACUGAGAUAUACAAGAACGACCCAGUAGAGGGAGCAUUUAAAGUCUAUGAAGACUUUGUGUUGUACAAGUCUGGCAAGAACACAUGCACCAGUAAGAGAUGUGAUGCAAACACACAUUACACUGAAUAUUGAGUACAGGGUGAACCCUAACUGCAUAUUGUGCUCAGUGAUACAGUGUGUACAGUGUUGCUUGGGACCUCGUGGUUCCUACUUGUGUUUCUUGCGUCCUCUUCCUGUCUCCAGGUGUGUAUCAGCAUGUUUCAGGCUCUGCUGUGGGUAGACAUGCCAUCAAGAUCCUGGCUGGGGAGAGGAGGAUGGUGUUUCCUACUGGCUCUGUGUCAACUCCUGGAACACUGACUGGGGUGAUAAUGAUCCGAUUUCAAGUUUUGAGAUGCAGCGUCGUUACAUCAUCACUAGAGGGAGACACACUCCUCUUGUCUGUCAUAGAACUGUGACAGCAAUUUACUGCUUUUAGUCCCUUUAGAGCUGACUGAUGGCUUUGCUGUCAAAAGAAAGCCCCAUGUUAUGUGUGCAAACGUAAAAAGUCAAGCAGCCUUCACUUCACUCAGGUGGAUUUGCAGAUGUAUUAGCAAAAAUAGCAAGAAUGUGCCUGCACACAAAUCUCCAUUGUUGAACGGAUGAUGUGUCUCUGUGAGAAGACAUAAGAAAAGGUUAGACAAAAGCUUACACAGGAAGAUCAUUUUCAUAGACACACCUGUGCAAUUAAUUAUAUCUCUGCUGCUUUGAUGCCAGUUGUCACUGAGUGAUUGAAUUGUUUUGAAUUAAAUAAAAAAGCUAUGAAUCUUUG